CUCAAGUCUAGUUCAGUGUCUUGAGGAUGAGGAGUGUGGGAGUCUAAAGCUGAAGCAGAUGAUGUCACUGCUGGAGCAUGACCUAAACCAAAGUUGACAGAGAAACUGAUAGUAUCAAGAAUGAGAUAAAUCACCACACUAAGUAUGGUCGUCAGGGAACCAAGCAGGCUGUGGACUGUGAUGCCAGGGGGUACUCAUUGGUUGCAACUCCGGCCAGACGUCCAACGAGAUGGCUGAGAUUAUUGCUGCAGUUUAAGUGAGAGGAGAGCACCAGGGUUUGAGUCUCUAACUGGAAUGUGGUUGAAGCUGUUCAUGCAUCAACCAAUAACUGAGUUUGUGCUGCUGGAAUUAGAUUUGAAAUCUCAACAAUCUCAACUGAGGUCAAUGAUGCAGACACCUCUGAUAUUACAGUAGCAGUGAAGGCGUACCAUGGACCCCCAAAGUACUCCUCAGCCAUUGCUCAGAAAACUACUGUAGCUGAGAAGGCCACUGCAGCAACAGGAUCCUAACUAUCUCAACCAAAGUUGAUGAUGCAGUCACCUCUGAUAUUACAGUAGCAGUGAAGCAAGUAACCAAUAACAAGACAAACCAGACUUAAUGAAAUCAGCAUAAGAACUGUCAUUGUCACUGUGGGCGUCGGGGACCCGACUGUUGCAGCAAAGUCAAUAAUGUCAAGAUGUCUGUAUAAACAUUCUCAGGUUGGUCACAAUUUAAACAAAGUUCAUUCAUUCAACAGUUUU